rnacentral:rRNA from 1 species
UACAGGGGGCGCAAACGUUGCUCGGAAUCAUUGGGCGUAAAGCGCACGUAGGCGGUUCGUUAUGUCGGAUGUGAAAGCCCUUGGCUUAACCGAGGAAGUGCAUCCGAAACUGGCGAGCUAGAGUACUAAAGAGGAUCGCGGAAUUCCCGGUGUAGAGGUGAAAUUCGUAGAUAUCGGGAGGAACACCGGUGGCGAAGGCGGCGAUCUGGGUAGAUACUGACGCUGAGGUGCGAAAGCGUGGGGAGCAAACAGG